UACGGAGGGUCCAAGCGUUAUCCGGAUUUAUUGGGUUUAAAGGGUCCGCAGGCGGGAAAAUAAGUCAGUGGUGAAAUCCUAUCGCUUAACGAUAGAACUGCCAUUGAUACUGUUUUUCUUGAGUACAAUUGAAGUGGGCGGAAUGUGUCAUGUAGCGGUGAAAUGCAUAGAUAUGACACAGAACACCGAUUGCGAAGGCAGCUCACUAAAUUAUUACUGACGCUCAGGGACGAAAGCGUGGGGAGCAAACAGG
rnacentral:rRNA from 1 species